rnacentral:rRNA from 1 species
UGCAGUCGAGCGGAGAAAUGGGAGCUUGCUCCUAUUUCUCAGCGGCGGACGGGUGAGUAACACGUGGGCAACCUGCCCUACAGACUGGGAUAACUCCGGGAAACCGGAGCUAAUACCGGGUAAUACAUAGCAUCGCAUGAUGCAACGUUGAAAGUUGGCCUUUGGCUAACACUGUAGGAUGGGCCCGCGGCGCAUUAGCUAGUUGGUAAGGUAACGGCUUACCAAGGCCACGAUGCGUAGCCGACCUGAGAGGGUGAUCGGCCACACUGGGACUGAGACACGGCCCAGACUCCUACGGGAGGCAGCAGUAGGGAAUCUUCCGCAAUGGACGAAAGUCUGACGGAGCAACGCCGCGUGAGUGACGAAGGCCUUCGGGUCGUAAAGCUCUGUUGUUAGGGAAGAACAAGUACCGUUCGAAUAGGGCGGUACCUUGACGGUACCUAACCAGAAAGCCACGGCUAACUACGUGCCAGCAGCCGCGGUAAUACGUAGGUGGCAAGCGUUGUCCGGAAUUAUUGGGCGUAAAGCGCGCGCAGGCGGUCUCUUAAGUCUGAUGUGAAAGCCCACGGCUCAACCGUGGAGGGCCAUUGGAAACUGGGGGACUUGAGUGCAGAAGAGGAGAGUGGAAUUCCACGUGUAGCGGUGAAAUG